UAGGGAAUCUUCGGCAAUGGACGGAAAGUCUGACCGAGCAACGCCGCGUGAGUGAAGAAGGUUUUCGGAUCGUAAAGCUCUGUUGUAAGAGAAGAACGAGUGUGAGAGUGGAAAGUUCACACUGUGACGGUAUCUUACCAGAAAGGGACGGCUAACUACGUGCCAGCAGCCGCGGUAAUACGUAGGUCCCGAGCGUUGUCCGGAUUUAUUGGGCGUAAAGCGAGCGCAGGCGGUUAGAUAAGUCUGAAGUUAAAGGCUGUGGCUUAACCAUAGUACGCUUUGGAAACUGUUUAACUUGAGUGNAAGAGGGGAGAGUGGAAUUCCAUGUGUAGCGGUGAAAUGCGUAGAUAUAUGGAGGAACACCGGUGGCGAAAGCGGCUCUCUGGCUUGUAACUGACGCUGAGGCUCGAAAGCGUGGGGAGCAAACAGGAUUAGAUACCCUGGUAGUCCACGCCGUAAACGAUGUCGAUUAGCUGUUGGGCAGCUUGACUGCUUAGUAGCGAAGCUAAACGCGUGAAAUCGACCGCCUGGGGAGUACGGUCGCAAGAUUAA
rnacentral:rRNA from 1 species